CUCUGCGCUUGCGCAGGAGUCGCUCGCUCCUCUCCUCUCUGCGCCUGCGCAGAGGCCACCUCCUCCCCCGCCCGUCCGCUCCCUUGGCGUCGUCUUGGGCCGCGCCCCGACCCCGUCUGUUUACGCAUGCGCAGGAGCCGCCCUGCGGGGGUGCGGGGCUGAGCCAUUGUGGCUUCAGGUUUAAAGGCGCGAGCGCCGCCCACGCAGGCACAAGGUCUCCUGGUCGUUUUAUUUUUAGCGUAAGGUUUUCCUCUUUAACAAGGAAGUAAAAAAAAUAAGUUGUGCAACAAAUAUUAAUCGUCCUUAUAUGUACUCAGGAACGUUCGUCCUUUAGGUUUUCUCCUGGCGCGUGGGCGCCGCCGAUCAUUUCGGGGCUUAUUUUGGUUCUAAAGCCCUGGGCAGCCAGGCCUCCCUGCCUGGCCUCGGCGGGGACGCGGGACCUGGGGCCCCGGACCGGGCCUAACCGCCCUGGCCGGUCCCCACUGAUGGUGGCGGUCGGUCCUGACCGUCCUGAUGGCAGCGACCAGGCUGGACUCGGGCUGUGCAGGGGCGAGGGGAGCAGGGCGGGGUGACGCCCGGAGAGCGGCCUGGAGAGCGCGUGCUUCAGAAGGCGUGGGCACCCUAUGCCCUUUGCAGAUGGGGAUGCAGGCCCUGGUGGCCGUGGAGGGGAGAUGGGGGCAGGGACGUUGCCGGGCAGAGGAAGCUGGCCAUUCCUGGGGGAUUCCUGGGAGCCAUGUGGGAGAGGCGUGAGGAAGUGAGGCCUUCACCCCGAGACAGGUCCUGACGCACUCUCUGGUGCCUCUACUCACGUGAGGUGAGAGGGGAAACUGAGCUUUGGAAUAAACAGAUUUCCAUAAAGAAAAGCUGCUUUAGAGUGCUACACCGUAAGAGGGGCUUGGCAAACAAGAAGGGACGGAGGAAAGACCACCAAGUGAGAGGCACAGGUGUCGGGACAAACAGCCCGAAAACGCGGCAGAGAAGUUUGGCGGCUGUAACUGACCGGGAAGCUUAAAAUAACAGACAAUCAUCUCUCACAUUUAUGGGGACUGGGAAGUCCAAGACCAAGUUGCCAUCUGGGGAGGGCCUGUUCCUCACAGCGCCUUCCAGCUCAGGCCUCGUUUAUAAGGGCACUCAUCCCUUCCACGACAAUGGGUCCUCAUGACUUACUCACCUCGGAAAGCCCCCACCCCCAAGACCAUCACAUUGUGGGUGAGGAUUUCAACAUGGGAAUUUGGGGGCUGCAAACAAUUACACCAUGGCAGAGCAUAAGGUGCCUUCCCCACGUGCUCGGGUUGACCCAGCGUCUCACGCUAGCAGCUACGUGGAAUAGUUAUUUUUUCUGGAGAACUCUGGGACCCCUCUGAUGUCUUGGAGCACCCACACAGGCCGUUCACUGUGCACACGGUGAGGCUGUCCUCUGGGGAGUUCUGCUGUUGUGUGGGUUCUGUCUGUGUCAGUGUCCCAGCGGGAACGCAGGGCACACUAGCGUCAUCCCCAGAGGGCUUGGUAAGGGGACUGUUUGCAGAGACAUAGGCAGAGUGCUGGAAAACUACCAAAAAAGUGCAGUGUUCUGGGCCUAAUAAUAGCAGAGCUAUUCUCACCCUGGUCUGAAGGCAGGAGGGGAGGAGCAGUUAAUGGAUUCUGGAAGUCGGGUUGCACAGAGUCACCUUGAAAGAUGCCAUGACCUUCACCGAGGGCCAGACAGAGACUAAGCUGACCCCAUAGGAGAAUAAGACCUAGACCUCAUCCUCCUGCCUCCUGCCAGUCCCUGCCAGGGGUCGCCAAUGGCAAAACAGGACUGGAAGCCAGAGGCCAUGGAAGCCCGUGGAUGAAGUCCACAGUCCAGCCUCCCCGAGAGCAGUCUGGACGGUCCGCAGGAGACGUCUCCCGUCUUAGGCGUCCCACGCCGCGUGCUCCUGUUCAGCCCUGCCGAGGUGGAAGCUUGGAGUGGGUCACGGUGGAUGCAUUGACGCUGCAGACGUCAGCAAGUGCUACAAACCAGAGCUGGCCUUUAACUCAAACUGAUGGAGAAGGUGUUAAUAAUGCAGAUUAGACUUAAAAGUGUUGAAGCCAUUGCACUGUGAACAGCAAAAAAAAUUGAAGAACUCUUCUGGCAUUUAAAAACAAUUACUCAGUUCAGCAGAGAAGUCACUGACAAACGAGAUCACACUGACUGCUUUGUCGUUUUGGUUUUGUCUUACUCAUUAAUGCAAAUAAGAACAUUCACCAGCAUCUGUGUCGGGCCUACCCUCCCUGGUCAAAUACAGCUACAGUCUCCCUGCAGAUACGAGUUUUCCAGAAAUGAGCCGAUGUUUUCUGCGAGAAUCAAUUGGUCAUAUACAAUUUACAAAAAUGAGUACCGUAUACUGUAUUUGUAAACUGUACUCUGCAGAUGCUUUAUUUCACUGAAAUUUAUAAUAUACUUAUCCAUGUAUAUGCAUUCAUGCAUUUUUAUUCCUGAGAUCCAGCCGUGAAAUGUUUACCAGCACAUAAAUUACCAGCACAUGCUCUUUUUUGUUAACCUACUAGGUAAAAUCUUCAUUUAUUACAUCAAAUUCUUGUAGUUUUUGUAUUGCAAUUAUGCAGAUAUUGAUUAUCGCAGUAUUACUGCAAUUAUACAGAUACCACAAUUUCAGAUAUUGAUCAGCAUGUUCAGUUGGUUUCUAGGGAGGUUUACUUACCUCAUGGUACACCUAGUUUGCAUAGUUUGAUUAUAUUUAACUCUUAUGCUAAUUGUGGGAAGUCAUUGAUUUAUUCGACAGAUGCGCCUGUGGUCUUCCCUGAGCACAUCCUGGCCAAGGACGCUGCCCCCAGGAGAUUUGAGAAGUCCUGUGAGGAUCAUGUCAGUAUUUUCAAAUACUUAUAGAAAGGCCAGAGGGAUUGACCCAGAAUUACCAAUAUAAGUUUGACCCUGAGAUAACAAUGCCAUUUUAUGUUUGCAUGCAUAAAACCAAUGCAAGAGGUUGAUGGCCGUUUUAUGUUUGCAAACAUAAAACCAAUGCAAGAGGUUGAUGGCCAUUUUAUGUUUGCAUGCAUAAAACCAAUGCAAGAGGCUGAUGACCCCAGAUCCCUUAUAUAAGCCAAUAAAAAGUAGUUUCAUUUUUUAUUUCAUUUAAAAAAGUGUACCAUUAACCUAAAGCCUGCUUGUAAAACCAGUUUGUUUCUGAGGCGUUAGCUCAAAGCUCACCUGCAUUUGGUGAGAAGUCCCUCACGCGUGGCUGCCCUGGCUGGGAGCUCUGAGCUCUGGGAGCCAUUGGAACUGCUAAUCCCACCACUGCCGUCUGAUUCCCUCUGCUCUAAUGGAGGUCUUUUGCCGGCGUAUCAAGUGGCAUUUUCUGGGCUUGGGAGUCAGUAAUUCCCAGUGGUCAAGUGUCUCUGCUCUGAAAAUGCCUUUCUUUGUGAUAUGAAGCUGUCAGUAAUGGAGACUGACCUUUUCAUAAGUCAGUGAAUUUUCUUUCCCUGAGUCAUUUUAGAGAGUGAAUGUGAACUCUCCAGUCUGUCCUAAGAAGACAUUAAUUGGAGCAGGCAUGGAACCUUCAGCUUUCCCAGUCACCUGCCAGGUUACUUGGCUUAACCUGGGAAUUAACCAGUUAAUAAAGUCGUUGAAAUGGAAAGAAUCCAGGAGGCUGCAGUGUGAGGCUGAUUUGCUGUCUUUAUUAAGUGAGGAAACGAGAAAUGGGAAGAAUCCAGGAGGCUGCAGUGUGAGGCUGAUUUGCUGUCUUUAUUAAGUGAGGAAACGACAGCAAAGCGCUUCUAGGCUUCUCACAGCUGAGCACACGAAGACUAAGCCCUCUUCCCGCCGUAGCCAGUGAGGAGAGGACCCCUCUUCCCAAGCCCCCUCAGGCAGUGGCUCCUGCUCACUGGAGGCUGGAGUUUCUAGGGCUUGUCCCUGUCCAGAGCUGCUGCCUCAGGUGUGAGGGUGACUGCCCAGCCCCCGCGCCACAGGCCCUCCCCAGACCUCAGGACCAGUUGGUAGGCCCCAGGCUUCCACCUUCAGGGGCAUGGGGACGCUGGCCUCUGUGUCUCCCGAGGCCCUCCUGGCUCCUGUUGGGGGUCUCUCCUGUCAGGAUAGGUUCCGUGGGGUUGGAGGGACUCAGCCUGUUUCUCUGCCAUCCCCCUUUAACGGCCCAGAAACUUUAGUGACUGAGAGUAAAAUAAGGUCGACUUCACAGUUUCUUUCUCCUCAGCAGUGUCUGGGGGCUGGUCCUCAACCAUGACCGCCGGCCCUGGUCUGUCAUCAUCCUGAUAAUUUUCCAGAACUCCACCUGCAGCCGUCAUCUGGGCGGCCCUGCCCCAUCUGUACCCUCUGCCCUGCCCUGGUCCUGGACCUGCUGUGCUCCACAUUGCGCUCUGCGGGACCUGAGAGGUUUCUCAGCGGGAGCUGAACAGUGUUGAAAAGGCUUCCAGCCUGCACCUCAGUGGGGUGCUUUUUUUCAUGGGACAUGCGGGGUUGUCUGGGCUGGAGAACACAGAUUUGGGGGCACUCCGGAAGGUGGCAGAAGGUUGGCCGUACACGGGACCCAGUGGUCAUCUCUGCAAAUGCCUGGGCUGGGCUGUUCCUGCCUCAGAGGCCUCCCUCCUGCAGAGCAGGGGUGGAGAAAUCAGCCUGGAGAGCCUCACGGCGCAGGAGGGAUUUGCCAGAGCUGCCUCUGAAUAGAGCCCCCUGCAAACACUGGAGCUGUUUUAUGGCACUGGAUUUAGCUUGCAGGGUCCAGGAACACCUAGAGACACCAGAGGGAGAGACC